CAUGACUAGACAGAAAUUACUUCAAUUUCUCAUGGAUUGAAUGACAAUUAUAGACAAGCACGGAGUCAAAUACUCAUGAUGAACCCAUCCCCUAGUGUGAACCAGUGCUAUGCCAUAAUUAUUCAGGAUGAAAGUCAACGUGCAUUAAGUGGAGGAUAAUAUGGAACCGUACUUUCUUUGGUGACAACUUCUUUUGGGUCUGGAAGUCGCUUGUAGUGGUUGUCUUGACAAAAAAUGAACUGUUAAGCGGCCUCCAGAGGGAAUUGAUCCUAUUGCAUUAUUCACAAAUAGAUCCGGAGGAAAUGGUAUGGGGACUCAAGAAUCUCGGGGUCAAGGAUCUAGUAGCAAUGGCGGUCAGUUUCAAAGACAAUACAACUGAGGUGUUCUGUACUGUGACUUUUGUGAUAUGAAAGGUCAUAGGUAAGGCCAAUUAUAACAAGUUGAAACAUUGCACUCAUUGUAACAAGCAGGGUCAUACAAGGGGCAUUUGCUAUCAGUUGAUAGGCUACCCCGCAGAUUACAAAGGAAAGAAGAGGGCAAAUGUUGUUACUGCACCAUAAAUGGGAGCUCCUAGUACAAAUGGACAAAUAGGUUAUCAAAUGUCGUUUGCAGGUGAAGGAAGUGAACACUUUAAUUCUCACAAGCCAAUUGCAGGUAGUAGCAAUGGACACAUUCAUGGAUCAAGUGAAAACAUGAAUAUAUCACAACCUAUUCCACAACCAAAUUUUGGACAUAAUGGAUCAGUUCCAUACUUCACUCCAACUCAAUAUAAUCAGAUCCUUUAGAUGUUGAAUAAACCCAUGUUGAGUGAAUUCAGUGCUAAUGUAGCAGGAUCUCUUCACUGGGAGAGUGAAGGAUAUUGGUGAAGUGAUUGAUGGUUUGUACAUCCUGCGAUCACACAAGCAUUUAGAGUCUAAGGAAAAAAGAUCUUUUGCAGCCACAAAAGGACAUGGUGAAGUUGAGAUAUAACAUAAGAGAUUAGGACACGUGCCUAUGGGUGUUCUUAGAAAAAUUACUUCUCCGGGCAAUAACAAUUUUGUAUUACCUAAUUGUGAUGUUUGUCCAUUAGCAAGACAAGUUACAUUACCAUUUUCUACUAGUCAUAGUAGAAAUACUAAAUGUUUUGAAUUGAUUCAUUUAGAUGUAUGGGGACCAUAUAAGAUUGCUACACAUAAUAAAAUG